rnacentral:rRNA from 1 species
AUGCUCCGGGACACCUUCCAGCACCACCCUGACCUUGUAAGGGAGCGAGGCCGGGGAAGCACGACGGAACCGAGACGAGGGCGCCAGCAUGAAGGAGACCCUUCCAAUCCGCAGAGCACCUUGCCUCCUGACAGCUUCAUCUCGAACACGGGCAUCGUCGAAGAUGAGGAGGUAUUCGCCUGUGGCCCGCAAGGAAACCUUCAUCGCCUCGUCCUGGACGCGAAAGGCCGAGGCCAAAGCCCUGUGAACCUCCCGGAGCGGCAGCUUGGGGGAGAAGCCGACCAUCGUGGCCACCACCCCGCAUCUGGAGAGCCGGCGCUCAGCAUCGGCCAAGGCGGCCGUCCGAGGAGCAGACGCCACCACCAGGCCCCUCCUGACGCUCACAUCUGCCGCCGGGGCCUCCAUUGCCUGAGGAGGAUCAGGAGAGAUCCGACCCGCGCACGGAGGUGGCGUACCGGGAGGCGGAGGCGGAAGGACGGUCGUGGAGCGAGAAUGGCGAGGCGGACGGGGAGCUGGGGCCGGCCGAGGAGAAGGGGAGCACCACCUCGCCUUGUGCCCCUCAGCACCGCACAAGAGGCACCGGGGAAGAUUCUUGCAGGAGGCGAUGCGAUGCCCCGGCUCGAAACACUUGAAGCACCCGCCCCUCGCUUUCCUCAGGAGAAGCUCACGGAACUGGGAUGGCGAAUGGCGUCGAAGACUAGAACUGCUUGGCCAGAAACACCCUGGCUUCAAAUCGGACUAGAACUGCUUGAUCUAUGCAAGUUAUGUAAUUUUCUGUUCCAAAUUUUAGGGAGCAAGUGA